AUUCUGUCAAAAAGCAUAGAGAGCAAAACCACAACAACCUGUGUCCUAGGAUUAUAAUUGUGACAUAAUAUACGCCAAGAACCUGAGGCUUGUCCAAUCAGCAUUGUCUUUCAGGGAAAAUAAAUCUUAUGUAUUCUAGGUUAGUCUCAUGAAUUAUGAAAAAGUUAAGACUUGAGUUAAACUUUGAAGGAUGGGCAUAGAGUGAGGGAUUAUAUGAGCAAAACUAUGGCAGAGGUGGAAAUCAGGGGACUCUUGUUGGGAUUGAUUGGAGACAUCUCAACAGGAUAUAAGAUAUGAAAACUGGACACAAGAUCUUAAGGGUCCAAAGAAUGGAUCUAAACAGAUAUUAUGGACAACACAAAAUAGACCAAUGGCUCAGGAUACAUGAACAACAAAAGAAAAAUCACAGAAAACACCAUUCAAAUAAAAAUAAAGCCAUUGAAAACAGUAAAAUUGGUUCUGCAGAAUUCCCU
rnacentral:lncRNA from 1 species